rnacentral:rRNA from 1 species
UACGUAGGGGGCAAGCGUUGUCCGGAAUCAUUGGGCGUAAAGCGCGUGUAGGCGGCCGGUAAGUCCGCUGUGAAAGUCCAGGGCUCAACCCUGGGAUGCCGGUGGAUACUGUCGGGCUCGAGUCCGGAAGAGGCGAGUGGAAUUCCUGGUGUAGCGGUGAAAUGCGCAGAUAUCAGGAGGAACACCAAUGGCGAAGGCAGCUCGCUGGGACGGUACUGACGCUGAGGCGCGAAAGCGUGGGGAGCAAACAGG